rnacentral:tRNA from 1 species
GGCCUCAUCGUCUAGCGGUUAGGACGCCGCCCUCUCACGGCGGAAACAGGGGUUCGAUUCCCCUUGGGGCUACCA